rnacentral:lncRNA from 1 species
GAAAUACCAAAUACAACAAGUAAUAUAUGUGAUAUAUGUACAAGGAAUUUUAAAGAUGUUUAUGUACACGCUUGUUGCAAUUGUCCAAGUACUAAUGCACAGCGAGAAGUCUGGUGGGACAUUUUAAGUGACAAUUUUCCAGUGCAGCUUUACUGUGAAUUAAACAUGUAUGACGACGAAAUCCUGUUUCAAAUGUUACUCGGUCGAAAACCACUGACAAUUUUUUCAAGCAUAGAUGAAUCGGUUCAAUUUCUCAAGCUGUGUCAUGCACAUGUUAUUCAGUGUGUAGCAGAAUAUAGUCGAUCUCUUAGACAGUGUUAUUAGAUGUGUCAAUACACGAUGUGUCAAUACAUGAUGUGUC